AUGGGCGAAAGCCUGAUGCAGCCAUGCCGCGUGUAUGAAGAAGGCCUUCGGGUUGUAAAGUACUUUCAGUUGUGAGGAAGGGUGUGUAGUUAAUAGCUGCGCAUCUUGACGUUAGCAACAGAAGAAGCACCGGCUAACUCCGUGCCAGCAGCCGCGGUAAUACGGAGGGUGCGAGCGUUAAUCGGAAUUACUGGGCGUAAAGCGCAUGCAGGUGGUUCAUUAAGUCAGAUGUGAAAGCCCGGGGCUCAACCUCGGAACUGCAUUUGAAACUGGUGAACUAGAGUGCUGUAGAGGGGGGUAGAAUUUCAGGUGUAGCGGUGAAAUGCGUAGAGAUCUGAAGGAAUACCAGUGGCGAAGGCGGCCCCCUGGACAGACACUGACACUCAGAUGCGAAAGCGUGGGGAGCAAACAGGAUUAGAUACCCUGGUAGUCCACGCCGUAAACGAUGUCUACUUGGAGGUUGUGGCCUUGAGCCGUGGCUUUCGGAGCUAACGCGUUAAGUAGACCGCCUGGGGAGUACGGUCGCAAGAUUAAAACUCA
rnacentral:rRNA from 1 species